UAGAGGAAGUAAAAGUCGUAACAAGGUUUCCGUAGGUGAACCUGCGGAAGGAUCAUUAUGUAUUCAUGGGAUACCAAUGCGUUCCCUGACACUAACCCUCUCCGCGUAUCAAUCCAUGUUGCUUUCCCAGGUGCUCGCUUGCCUGGGAGAGGUCCUAUCCAAAGCGAAUUAUUGAAUCAGCUGUCUGAGUUGGCCCAGUGCCAUAUUCUUUGAAUAAGUUAAAACUUUCAACAACGGAUCUCUUGGCUCUCGCAUCGAUGAAGAACGCAGCGAAAUGCGAUAAGUAAUGUGAAUUGCAGAAUUCAGUGAAUCAUCGAAUCUUUGAACGCACAUUGCGCCCCUUGGAAUUCCUUGGGGCAUGCCUGUUCGAGCGUCACUACAAACCCACUCAUGAAAUAUUAUGGUAUUGAUGGAGGUGGACUCUGGUUACUAAUGUGCCAGGAUUACCCCAUUGAAAUAUAUAGGCAGGACAGUAAACCUCUGCAAUGGACUUAGUAACUGUUGUGAAGACAUAGACCAGUCCUUUGCCGGGUUCCAGCCUGGCCUCCAUGGACCUCCAUCCAAGAUAAAAAACUCUGGGUUGACCUCGGAUCAGGUAGGGAUACCCGCUGAACUUAAGCAUAU
rnacentral:rRNA from 1 species